rnacentral:rRNA from 1 species
CCCCACUGCUAUCGGGAUAGGACUAAGACAUGCUAGUUGAGCGCUUCCAGCCAAUACGGGAGCGCGGCGCACAGCUCAGUAACACGUGGCUAAUCUGCCCUUGGGACCGGAACACCCCCGGGAAACUGGGGCUAAUUCUCGAUAGGUGAAGAACUCUGGAAUGAGUCUUCGCCAAAUAGACGCUUGCGUUAUGCUCGUAAGCGUCGCCCAAGGAUGAGGCCGCGACCGAUCAGGUUGUUGGUGAGGUAAUGGCUCACCAAGCCUUUUACCGGUGCGGGCCGUGAGAGCGGGAGCCCGGAGAUGGGCACUGAGACAAGGGCCCAGGCCCUACGGGGCGCAGCAGUCGCGAAAACUUUGCAAUACACGAAAGUGUGACAGGGCUAUCCCGAGUGCCAUCCGCUGAGGAAGGCUUUUACCCAGUCUAGAACGCUGGGGGAAUAAGGAGAGGGCAAGUCUGGUGUCAGCCGCCGCGGUAAUACCAGCUCUCCGAGUGGUGUGGAUGUUUAUUGGGCCUAAAGCAUCCGUAGCUGGCUAAGUUAGUCCCUUGUUAAAUCCACCGAAUUAAUCGUUGGAUUGCGGGGGAUACUGCUUGGCUAGGGGACGAGAGAGGCAGACGGUAUUUCCGGGGUAGGGGUGAAAUCCUAUAAUCCCGGGAAGACCACCAGUGGCGAAGGCUGUCUGCUAGAACGCGCCCGACGGUGAGGGAUGAAAGCUGGGGGAGCGAACCGGAUUAGAUACCCGGGUAGUCCCAGCUGUAAACGAUGCAGGCUAGGUGUUUGGACGGCCACGUGCCGUUCUAGUGCCGCAGGGAAGCUGUUAAGCCUGCCGCCUGGGGAGUACGAUCGCAAGAUU